CGGCUUCGGGAGGCUUCGGGCCAGAGCCAGAGCAGCGCUGGCCGCUACGGGGCCCGAAGGUGGGCUCAGUUGGCCGCCCGGAGCUCAGCUCUACCAUAAGGUUCCGGUAGCCUGGGACGGCGACAGGGUCCCCUGAUCCCCACCGGGUCCGGGUGCACAAAGCUGUGCGCCUAGCCUGGGUCCUCUUUCCCCGCUCUACGCUGCGGA
rnacentral:sRNA from 1 species